GGAAGUAAAAGUCGCAACAAGGUCUCCGUUGGUGAACCAGCGGAGGGAUCAUUACCGAGUUAUCAACUCCCAAACCCCUGUGAACAUACCCAACGUUGCUUCGGCGGGACCGCCCCGGCGCCCUCGGCGUCCCGGAACCAGGCGCCCGCCGGAGGACCCAAACUCUUGUUUAAACCAUAGUGGCAUAUUCUGAGUCUCACAAGAAAAAUGAACCAAAACUUUCAACAACGGAUCUCUUGGCUCUG
rnacentral:misc_RNA from 1 species